UUGGAGGGUAACUCUGGUGCCAGCAGCCGCGGUAAUUCCAGCUCCAAUAGCGUAUAUUAAAGUUGUUGCGGUUAAAACGUUCGUAGUUGAACUUGUGCUUCAUACGGGUAGUACAACAUACAUUUGUAGUGAGUACUAUACCUUUAUGUAUGUAAGCGUAUUAUCGGUGGAGUUCUUAUAUGUAAUUAAGUACUUGUACUUUUUUAUAUAUUCCUCCUAUUUAAAAACCUACAUUAGUGCUCUGAAUCGAGUGUUUUUGUGGGCCGGUACAAUUACUUUGAACAAAUUAGAGUGCUUAAAGCAGGCUCUGUUCUGCUUUCAUUGGUUUUCAGAUCAAGAGGUAAUAAUUAAUAGAAGCAGUUUGGGCGCAUUAGUAUUACGACUCGAGAGGUGAAAUUCUUGGAAUUCUUAUAUUGCCUUCAUUCAUGGUAGCAGUAAAAUGUUUAUUGUGUUUGAAUGUGUUUAUAUAAGUUGUAAGGGUGCGCUGUUUUAAACAUUA
rnacentral:ncRNA from 1 species